rnacentral:rRNA from 1 species
GACGAACGCUGGCGGCGUGCUUAACACAUGCAAGUCGAACGGAAAGGCCCUGCUUUUGUGGGGUGCUCGAGUGGCGAACGGGUGAGUAACACGUGAGUAACCUGCCCUUGACUUUGGAAUAACUUCAGGAAACUGGGGCUAAUACCGGAUAGGAGCUCCUGCUGCAUGGUGGGGGUUGGAAAGUUUCGGCGGUUGGGGAUGGACUCGCGGCUUAUCAGCUUGUUGGUGGGGUAGUGGCUUACCAAGGCUUUGACGGGUAGCCGGCCUGAGAGGGUGACCGGCCACAUUGGGACUGAGAUACGGCCCAGACUCCUACGGGAGGCAGCAGUGGGGAAUAUUGCACAAUGGGCGGGAGCCUGAUGCAGCAACGCCGCGUGCGGGAUGACGGCCUUCGGGUUGUAAACCGCUUUCGCCUGUGACGAAGCGUGAGUGACGGUAAUGGGUAAAGAAGCACCGGCUAACUACGUG